rnacentral:tRNA from 1 species
GCCAAUGCAGCACGACUGGUCGUGCAUCCGUUUCGUAAUCGGAAGGUAGUCGGUUCGAGUCCGACCGUUGGCUC